rnacentral:tRNA from 1 species
AAAAGUUUAUUAUAUUAUGGUAUAUUUAAUUGCAAAUUAAAAGGGAUAACUUUUU